rnacentral:rRNA from 1 species
AUCGAACGCUGGCGGCAGGCCUAACACAUGCAAGUCGAACGAGUGGCGGACGGGUGAGUAAUGUCUGGGAAACUGCCUGAUGGAGGGGGAUAACUACUGGAAACGGUAUCUAAUACCGCAUACUCUCGGCUGUGCCCAGGUGGGAUUAGCUAGUAGGUGGGGUAAUGGCUCACCUAGGCGACGAUCCCUAGCUGGUCUGAGAGGAUGAUCAGCCACACUGCGAGUGGGAAACGGCCCAGACUCCUACGGGAGGCAGCAGUGGGGAAUAUUGCACACUGGGCGCAAGCCGGAUGCAGCCCUGCGGCGUGUAUGUAGAAGGCCCUAGGGUGGUAAAGUACUUUCAGUCGGGAGGCGUUACCGAAAGAGGAAGCACCGGCUAACUCCGUGCCAGCAGCCGCGGUAAUAC